ACCAGGGCGGAUCAUGUUAAGACACCCCCCCCAAGGGUAUAAACAUAAUGAAUCCCGCCCCAUGUCUUUGGUUGGGGCGACCGUGGGGUAGUGAAUAACCCCCAUGUGGACCGAGAGUACCUCUCCUAGAAGCAAGAAUUACAAUUCUAACUAACAAAACCUUUGACCUGUAAGAUCCGGCUACGCCGAUCAACGGACCU
rnacentral:rRNA from 1 species